GCAUUCCUACGGGAGGCAGCAGUAGGGAAUCUUCCACAAUGGGCGAAAGCCUGAUGGAGCAACGCCGCGUGGGUGAAGAGGGUCUUCGGAUCGUAAAACCCUGUUGUUAGAGAAGAAAGUGCGUGAGAGUAACUGUUCACGUUUCGACGGUAUCUAACCAGAAAGCCACGGCUAACUACGUGCCGUCAGCCGCGGUAAUACGUAGGUGGCAAGCGUUAUCCGGAUUUAUUGGGCGUAAAGGGAACGCAGGCGGUCUUUUAAGUCUGAUGUGAAAGCCUUCGGCUUAACCGGAGUAGAUCAUUGGG
rnacentral:rRNA from 1 species